rnacentral:rRNA from 1 species
GGCGGCGUGCUUAACACAUGCAAGUCGAACGAUGAACCACUUCGGUGGGGAUUAGUGGCGAACGGGUGAGUAACACGUGGGCAAUCUGCCCUUCACUCUGGGACAAGCCCUGGAAACGGGGUCUAAUACCGGAUAUGACCAUCUUGGGCAUCCUUGAUGGUGUAAAGCUCCGGCGGUGAAGGAUGAGCCCGCGGCCUAUCAGCUUGUUGGUGAGGUAAUGGCUCACCAAGGCGACGACGGGUAGCCGGCCUGAGAGGGCGACCGGCCACACUGGGACUGAGACACGGCCCAGACUCCUACGGGAGGCAGCAGUGGGGAAUAUUGCACAAUGGGCGAAAGCCUGAUGCAGCGACGCCGCGUGAGGGAUGACGGCCUUCGGGUUGUAAACCUCUUUCAGCAGGGAAGAAGCGAAAGUGACGGUACCUGCAGAAGAAGCGCCGGCUAACUACGUGCCAGCAGCCGCGGUAAUACGUAGGGCGCAAGCGUUGUCCGGAAUUAUUGGGCGUAAAGAGCUCGUAGGCGGCUUGUCACGUCGAUUGUGAAAGCCCGAGGCUUAACCUCGGGUCUGCAGUCGAUACGGGCUAGCUAGAGUGUGGUAGGGGAGAUCGGAAUUCCUGGUGUAGCGGUGAAAUGCGCAGAUAUCAGGAGGAACACCGGUGGCGAAGGCGGAUCUCUGGGCCAUUACUGACGCUGAGGAGCGAAAGCGUGGGGAGCGAACAGGAUUAGAUACCCUGGUAGUCCACGCCGUAAACGGUGGGAACUAGGUGUUGGCGACAUUCCACGUCGUCGGUGCCGCAGCUAACGCAUUAAGUUCCCCGCCUGGGGAGUACGGCCGC